AUCAUAAAUCAAUUAACUUUAUGUUGGUUGUCAAUCCAUUGGACCCCUCCUUCUUUAUCCAAGCUAUUUUCUGUUAUUCUUAGUGUAAAUGUCUUAUUUCUUUAUCAAUCAAAAGGGCUCUUAAUAGAAGUCAAGUAUGUUAAACGAGUGAUUCUGUUUAUUGCAAGAAUUGGAUUAUAGAGGAUCCUAAUGUAGGAAUAAUGUAAUUUUAUUGUUUCACUAGGUUAAGUGCUUUUAAGAGAUCAAGAUGGAGGGGGUGUAAAUGCUGAUGUCUUGAUGGAGUAUGUUGAAUUUCAUAUUUUUUUGAGUCAAGGCAAGUGAAACUAACUAAAACUACCUGUUCUCUUUAUAUAUAGGUAGUUCUUUGAUUGAAGGAAUGAAGAGCAGACAUGAGGAUACAUCACCAUGAUGAAGAACUUCCUUCAGGUUCAUUCGUAGCUACUUAGUGAUCUUCCAAAUGUGUCAAUUCAGAGCUCAAUCUUAAUAUUCUCCUAUACUGUGUUAAUUACAGCAUCACAAGUUGUUGUAUCCGAGUUUGUAUGAUAGUGGUUGAGGUUGUAUCUACUGCUUUUGAUGGUGCUCUUUGAACAAAAAUUCUUAUUAUUGAUUAAGGUAGUUAACUUGAACAAAAAUUCCAUUAUUGAUGGUGGUUGCUAGUUUCAAGUAUCAGAACCAAUUGUAAACUACUGCUGCUUUUCCUAUUUUAGUUUGGUAGUUUCUUAGUUUCAAGUCUCACAACCAACUAUAAAUUCACAUUUGUUAACUGACAAUGACAUGGAAAUGAAAGCUGGAAAAUUACGGCAUUGCAGAAUUGUAUCAGUCAAGUAGAUUACAAAUGUUUUGGUGUUAAAAUUUGUUAAUUGAAGGGAAAUAUAUUAAGACUAGGUAGUCAAGUGCAUGAUGCAAAGACUAUGUCUUGCUUUUUUCCUGCUCUUGCUAAAUGACUUAUUUGUAAGCAAUAUGCCCCCUCCCCUGUUGCUUGUCCUCUACCAUCAAUAUUAUGUGCGUUCAACUUGUCAAGUACAGGUAAUGUGUAUUAAUUUUUUUACAAAGGCAUUACCUCAACCAAUCAAUUGUAAUCUCCCUUCUUUUUGCAUCUAUU
rnacentral:lncRNA from 1 species